rnacentral:rRNA from 1 species
UGUGACAUACCUAAAACGUUGCUUCGGCGGGAACAGACGGCCCUGUAACAACGGGCCGCCCCCGCCAGAGGACCCCUAACUCUGUUUUUAUAAUGUUUUUCUGAGUAAACAAGCAAAUAAAUUAAAACUUUCAACAACGGAUCUCUUGGCUCUGGCAUCGAUGAAGAACGCAGCGAAAUGCGAUAAGUAAUGUGAAUUGCAGAAUUCAGUGAAUCAUCGAAUCUUUGAACGCACAUUGCGCCCGCCAGUAUUCUGGCGGGCAUGCCUGUUCGAGCGUCAUUACAACCCUCAGGCCCCCGGGCCUGGCGUUGGGGAUCGGCGGAAGCCCCCUGUGGGCACACGCCGUCCCUCAAAUACAGUGGCGGUCCCGCCGCAGCUUCCAUUGCGUAGUAGCUAACACCUCGCAACUGGAGAGCGGCGCGGCCAUGCCGUAAAACACCCAACUUCUGAAUGUUGACCUCGAAUCAGGUAGGAAUACCCGCUGAACUUAAGCAUAUC